AGUUCGCAUACGUUGCCGUCAUGUUCGUGUUACUGCUUGGCAUGUACUUGUGUUACAUUUAGUCGUGCUUUGUGCUUCACACUGCUGAAAAGUGUUGGGAACGAGACAGGAAUCAUUUUCCUUCCAUUCGAGAUGUCUUGAGAGGUUGAUCCAAGAUCACCCAAUUAUUGGCUCGUUAUCUGUAGUCCCGUAUCCCCACCCCUUUUUUAAAACCGGCACUGCGGAGCGGCAGAGCCUAAUAAUGAAAACGAGGAUCAGGAAACCAGAAUCGAACAGAACAAGGAAACCCAUGCUCUCGCUGGAGCAGCGCUUCGAAAUCGACGCAUUCGUCAAAGCUCGGACAAGGUGACACAGUUUCUCGAGGAGGGUGCCGGUAGAAUGAAACGCCGGAACGUACGAAAACCGAUGCACCAGGAACUGGACAACCGACUGUACGCGGCGGCUCAGCCAACGAGCGCGUGUACGCCCAGUUCCGCUCAUUGGCUCGGCCGUCUCGCGCCAAACGAUCUCG